rnacentral:lncRNA from 1 species
GAAAAUAUUUAAUAAGUAAUAUACUUAAAAAGGUAAAAUAAAUUUACUUUCAAAAAAAAGAUGUCAUAUAGACAAAAAAAUCCACGCGAGGGUGAGUGCGCACACACUUUUUGUCACAUCACCGUCUAGGGGAGUAAUGGCUCUCAAAAGGCCAAGUUGAGGAUGGUAAUUAAGAUCAGACAUAGUUCGGGGAGGAUAUAUAUAAUUUGAGCCAAGUUUAAGGGUGAUUUAAGGUAUUUUGCGAGAAUUUAAUUUACUCAAUUUGCAAACUUAAGCAAUUAAAAUAACCAAUUUUGUCAGUUUAAACAAAUAGACUAAAUAAUUUGUUAAUUAACUUAGAACAAAGCUGAAAAUAGAUAUGAGAUUAAAUCAUGGAAGAAACAAUAUAGUCAUUUUAGGUACCAAACUUAAAAAUAAACCCUAAUCAAACUAAAUUCAUGUAAUUGGAACCAAACUUUAGCUAAUUGCAAUAUUCAGCAUACUUUUAUGAACAUGUUGACAAUGCCAAUUAAGGUGAAGAAUGUCACUUAUCUAGAUCAUUUAUGCUAAAAGGAAGAAACAAGUCGAAGAAAAGAAAGAAAGAAAACAAAAAAAAAUGAAAAAGAAAUACUUUGGGUUGUUUUGGACCAGGCAAGUUGGUGAACCAUCCUGAAUGAGACACUCGUGAACUUAUACAACUAUUAAUUGGCCGUUCUUAACAAGAAUAACCAAUUAACGUGCGUUUGGGUUCACGGAUUCCAAAUGCUGACCGAGAAAAGAAUAAAGAAAAACGAGAAUUUUUCUGGAAUCUUAGAUUUAAGAUUCGACAGGGUUAUGGGUGAUUCGAAGGAACCAAAAUGAUAUUUGGGAAGAGGAGGAGAAAGAGGUUUCAUGGUGUAAUUUUGGAUUGAUUUGGAAAAGAUAGGGUUUUUGGACAUGAAACUCGGAUUUCAAAUUCGAGAUUUUUGGUGAGGAUAUGAAAGAAACAAGUUAGUGAUUUGAAAUGAGAGAUGAUGGAGGCUAUGGGGCAGAAAUGACAAAAGCAGCAGCUUUAGCUACUCAAACCAAGUUCCAAUCCUUCCGUUAACCAUCAGAAUUUAUCCAGAGGCCCUCGGAACCUCAACCAAAAAU